UUACAAUCAUGGCAAUAUUUUUUGUCAACAGCGGUUCACCUGUGAAUGUUGAUACUUUGGGUUUGAGUGA
ensembl:snoRNA SNORD56B small nucleolar RNA, C/D box 56B